AACCACCUCCGGUGGCAGGCUGUUCCAGACCUUGGGGGCUCGGACAGGAAAGAAAUUCUUCCUUAUGUCCAGCCUGAAACGGUCUUGUAGUAGUUUGACUGUUCGACCUAGUCGCUUUGAUGCGAGUCCCCCGCAGGCUCAGCGGGACUUGCCUUGGGAAGGGCAGUACCAGGACUCGGUCGUGUGUUGCUUUCUGCUGAUGCUUGGUUAUAUUCAUUGCUCCCCUCCCCCACUUCCAUUACACACGUUUGCUUUUAUCUGUGCAGCUCCCUGUUGCUAGGAACAGCCACGAUGUUACAUGGCAGCCUUUGCAUCCAAAGCUGGGCAGUGAAUGCGGUGCAGGUACUGCAGAAUAACUUACCCAAGUUUUAUGCUGUAGUAAAUGCACUCCUUAGUAAGGAGUGGACAUUUGACCAGUUCUCCUAGGCUAGCUGCCUGCAGCGUGCUGUGUUAUAACUCCCGCCCUUUAGGUAAGCAGAGGAGCCGAUUGCAUGAUGCAAACGGCUACCUUGGGUUAAGGUUGAUAGGGGGAUGGACACAACGCUUAUUCCACAGUAAAUUACCCAGGUUUUAAUUGCUGCCAUUUUUUCAGCCUAACUGCCUGGGAAAAGAGACUUGCACUAUAACCAAGCUGUGUUGGGUCUGUCCCACUGUUACGAUGGAGUAAGGCAGCGCUAGAUUCAAGGUUCUCCUCAUUAGACUCCAGGGCUCCCUUCAAAAAGGCCAGUUCUUGGUUUUCACUCACCCUUUGACUGGAAAAAAUACUAGAUCAGUUCUUCUGUGGCAAAGAGCUCAGACCACAACAGGACAGAAUGGGUUUGACUUUCUGGAUUUAUCUUGUGAAUCAAGUGUAGGUGUUGGCGCACCUAACAGCGCGAAUGUUGCACAGUUCCCAGUUUUAAAGGAUUUCACGGCACCCUGGUUGAGAACUGGGGUAAACCCUGCAACACACCUGAAGCCCUCUGUGCCUCGCUGCUAGGAGCGGAAACCUGCAGGAACAGCAUUAAGCUUGUCAGGCCCUGAGUCCAAGCCAGCCGCCAGACCCUGGAGAACUUCCUCCAUCGCAGUUUCCUCCCAUGCUCUUGCCCAGCACGCUGCGUUCGGGAAAGCAAACAGCAGGCUAGAGCUCAGCACGAGGGGCUCGUCAUCUGGGCACCUGACAGCCCUUUGGCAGACUUGAGCAGAUGCCCUUGCUUCAGAGGGCGCUGGGCACAGCAAAGUGGGGGUCUCUGCAAAUCACCAGACCAAUAUGGCUACAGCCUGGAUACCUCUCAUUCAUGGGACAGUCGUGGCUAAUUCAAAUUAAUGGCCAUAAGCCACCAAUGCAGCUCGCUGGUUUUGACUUGGAUCAAUCAGCGCAGCCUCAAAUGCAGUGUCUGCUUUUACCCCUCACUUGACCAGAACCUGUCCCAGGUCUCGGCUGUCACUUGGCCAGCACAAAGGUGUCCGUCCCUUAACUUCAACGGGGGUCAUGGCACCGUUUCGGAGAUGAAGGGGGUCCCAGGUAAGUGAUGCCCCAGCUGGCACAUCAAAGGUCCCUGAGGUUUGGAGCCCCAAGGGGGAACUGACCCCCUGUUCCUGGUCAUUAUGUGAACUCCCAGGAAAGCUGCAUGAGAGCAAAUCUGCCUCCACGCAGUUUCUGCCUGGUCUGUGCCGCAUGCAUAGGGAAGCUUGUACGUCCUCCCUAGACUGAGGCCAGCACUUACAAUGUUUCAGAGCGGUCUCGCUGCCUGGAAGCCUCAUCAGUUUAAAAGCCCCGCAGCCAGGACUCGCUUAGCAUCUUGUAAUCUACUGAGAUUUUUGCAUGUCUGCAUCCAGGCUCCUGACUGUGAAUUAUCUCCUUUAUUAACUGCUCACUGGAGAGAGACACUGCUCCGAUGGCCUCUCAGACGGAAAAUGAGGCCAUUAAUCGGCGUAAUCACCUGCCAGCCUUUUUGGCUUUGCAGACCCUGGUAGUGAGAAUGCCUUGCACAUUAAAACCAUGUCCCCUGCAUGCUCCGGCCUGUCUGUCUUGUAGGCGGGCAGGGAUGGCCAUGCUAGUGAUACAGAGGCUUGAAUGCCAUGGUAGGAAGGAGCUGCCAUACUUCUCUCAAGGGUACUUGCAUGUUCUGACAUCUUUCUCCCAUAACUGCCCCGCUGCUGUCCUAGCCCGUUGGCUUGUUACUCCCUAAUUCAUAUCUGCUUUCACUCUUUCAGGCCACCUUGGUCACCGAACUGUCUAUCACCUGCCGCGUCUUUUCCUGAGGAAGACGGAUCCCAAAUGCAGCUCAUUUUAGCCACAAAAGGAAGAACACAGGGAGAGCCUCAUUUUCAUAAAUGGCCAUUUUCUAGAGAAAGCACUUGAACAAAUCGAUGCCAGCAGUUACUUCCCCAAGCCUGAUUUUUACCAGUCAUUCUUCCAGUUUCCUCCAGCUCCAAACUCCCUCCCGCUUGGUCACGGCCCGCGUCGCCUGAGUGGCGUUGAACGAGGAUGGUCCUUUGCUAACGGGAUCGCUCUGCAUUCAUUCAGGCCCUGUCUUCAAGCACGCUGCACUGCUCUGUCCAUGCAGCUCCGUGGGCCAGCUAAUUAGCUCAGGGUAGGCUAAUUGGCACUGCUAGUUAGCCAGGCUGAAGGGCCUGCGCUGCUUCUGGUUCAGGAGUCGGCCCGCCAAGAGCAGCACCAUUGCUUGAGGAUGCCCUGCAUGGGCACGGUGACUUUCCCAUGCUGUGAAAUGGCCUCAGAUCGUCAGCCUUGUAAAGCUACAUUCCUCCUGUGCCGUGUGCGGGGUAUGUAAGGACAGCCUGCGUGCCAGGAGGGGUUUCUAACCUGAACUUGAAAGUCAAGUCACCCAUCUGGGGAGGGUCUCUACAAGGCCAUUGCAGUCCUUGAUGUCCUGUUUCACCCCUAAUUCUAGCCCGGAGUGGCGACGGCUCACGGUGCUGUAGUGCUAGUCCUUUGUGAUAUGAAAUGUUUAGGCAAACUUUGAAAUAUACCCAAAAAGCCGCCGUUGUCUCCUGGAUUUAUGACUGUGGAGUUAAAAUGAGCUGUCAACGAUCUCGCGUGGCCGUGCCCAGACCCCGGUCAGGAAGAGAGAUGCUUUGUGCUCGUUGCGAAGGUCUGAGCCUUGCAAGAGGCUCUCGGAUGCAGGGGUGCACCCUUGCUCAGACACGCUCCGGUGUCACUGGGGCUGGAUGGACACGAGGGGUCUGCCUCUGUGCAGGGACCGCAGAGACAAGCCCAUGCCUCGCCUCCAUGCUGCCCAUCCAGGGUGGCUUAUCCGCCUGGGGCAGUCGGCAUGAACGUUGCCUCCUUUCCUUGGCAGCCUCCAGAGCCACGCACGGAGGCUGUUCCUCGCAGGGCAGGCCAGGGACCUUGUGGUCCCACAGAAAUCGCACCCGGUGGCUUUUGGUUUCCUUCCUGAUGGCUGCAGGAUCGUAUGGCGUUGUUUUCCCUCUGCUGAGAGAGGUUGGUUUAACAUUGUAGGAGGGAAAUGGGUUGCACCCGCUGUCCGGGGGCUGCAACCGGAGGGGGUUGGCCGGCUUCUGGAAGGACAGCUUUGGGAGAUGCCGCCCUGACUUCCUGCAGCUGACCCCAGCUCGGAUCCUGGACUCGCAUUCAAGACAGACGUCUGUCCUGCAGGGCAAAGUGGCCCUGGAGGAUGGAGGCUGUGGGGUGUCUAGAUAAGGUGUGGGACUCGUUCUUCCAGCCGGCGCUGGCUGUGUUGAGGGUGGAGGGGUGCUUUGAUUUACGGGGUGCCUUGGUGUCACCAGCAGAGCAAGGGAUGCUUCAGGGGAAGGAGACGCAGUCCUUUCUAAUAGUCAUCCAACACCUCCUCGGGCGGGUGCUGGGGAGGGUGCCCGUGAUGGUCCGAAGCCAGGCUGGGCACCCUCCUGAGAGCCAAGCCCGGCGCCUCGGGGCCGCUCUGUGCUGGCGGUGAGGAGCAGAUGGCCCAAAGCCCCUGCAGGCGUGUGGCCCAGAGCCAUCUUCUUUAUCCAGGGCUACUCUGGGCUGUCUCCUCCACAAGCUGAAGGGCCCAGAUGCAGAUGAAGAAGGCUGGAGGGCAUGGCACUUUUUCUUGGCAGCCUCGUCUCAGUUAGGAGGCAUUUGGAGAGAUGCUGCUAGAGUGGGUGGCCUCGCUGUGCCGGCUGCAAUGGGGAGCGUCCCGACCAGUCUAAACGUGCUGGGUUGGACUGGGGAAAGCAGUGGGAGAAUGUAAUUUGGUUGUGUUAGUAUAACUGGCAAGGGAAGCCAACGUAGCUUAGCUUGUCCUGAAGCACAAGGGGAGACGGCACCAAAAAAGGGUGCUGGUUUUCAAAAUCCUUUUUUAUUUUUUUCCCCCUGCUAGUGUUAAAGCGUGCUGUAACUGUGAGGGUUCAGGAAUGAUGCAAAAUGCAAGGGUUUCUUAGGGUGACCUGAUGGAGUGCCUUGCCUUUGAAAGUUUGUCUGACUCUUUCCUAACUAUAACAGGUCCAAUAAAAGACAUCACCCAAAGAAAUCCUUUCUUUUUUUUCCUUGAAUGCUUUGUUCCAGCAGCUAAAUACACAUGGGUUCUUGUGAGGAGGCAGCAGAGCACUCGAAUGUGGGUUUAAGGGGUGUUUUGUGAAGCUGACAAAUUCCCAGUGACCAGGGGCGCAGGGGGCUGGUCGUUUUGAGUCGUCCAAGGAAAGGCAAUGGCAGGGGUUGAAAUAUUUGGUGCUAGCUUUGCAUAGAGGGACUGUACACCCUGUAUCCAUUGGUGCUGCAGCCCCCCGUGAUCUGGCUAGACCACGGCUAGAGCCAAAACCAAGACUGCCGUGAUGUCCGUCGGCAAGCUCCAGUAUGCCGAUGAUGCUGUAGCACGCGCUUCAUGCACCGACAUCAGCUCCUGGGACCAGACGGAGGAAGUCUGCUGCAGGGAUCUUGGUACUUUGAAACCUCAUGACAUCAACCGGAGAUGGAAAAGCAGGAGCGGCAGAAGCAGCGUGUCGCUGACCGAAGCAAGAGUCUGGAGCCACCCACCCCGCACGGAAACACGUGCCUGAGUUGCAACAGAGCCUGUUGAUCCCGGAUCGGCCUCAUCAGCCAUCUUUGGACCCAUGGAUAAAGCGGAAGCCAAUCAUCCUCGACUGCGAAGGAUUGCCGCUGCCGAGGCAUUUAACCCAGAGAUUUCCAUCGCUAGACACUGAAGGAAAGC